rnacentral:rRNA from 1 species
GGCGAACGCUGGCGGCGUGCCUAAUACAUGCAAGUAGAACGCUGAAGGAGGAGCUUACUUCUCUGGAUGAGUUGCGAACGGGUGAGUAACGCGUAGGUAACCUGCCUGGUAGCGGGGGAUAACUAUUGGAAACGAUAGCUAAUACCGCAUAAGAGUAGAUGUUGCAUGACAUUUACUUAAAAGGUGCAAUUGCACCACUACCAGAUGGACCUGCGUUGUAUUAGCUAGUUGGUGAGGUAAUGGCUUACCAAGGCGACGAUACAUAGCCGACCUGAGAGGGUGAUCGGGCACACUGGGACUGAGACACGGCCCAGACUCCUACGGGAGGCAGCAGUAGGGAAUCUUCGGCAAUGGACGGAAGUCUGACCGAGCAACGCCGCGUGAGUGAAGAAGGUUUUCGGAUCGUAAAGCUCUGUUGUAAGAGAAGAACGAGUGUGAGAGUGGAAAGUUCACACUGUGACGGUAUCUUACCAGAAAGGGACGGCUAACUACGUGCCAGCAGCCGCAGUAA